GCCGGGCGUGGUGGUGCGCGCCUGUAAUCCCAGCUACUCAGGAGGCUGAGGCAGGAGAAUUGCUUGAACCCGGGAGGCGGAGAUUGCAGUGAGCUGAGAUCACGCCAUUGGAUUCCAGCCUGGGUGAAAGAGCAAGACUGUGUCUCAA
rnacentral:SRP_RNA from 1 species